rnacentral:rRNA from 1 species
UUAAAGGCUGUGGNUUAACCAUAGUACGCUUUGGAAACUGUUUAACUNGAGUGCAAGAGGGGAGAGUGGANUUCCAUGUGUAGCGGUGAAAUGCGUAGAUAUAUGGAGGAACACCGGNGGCGAAAGCGGCUCUCUGGCUUGUAACUGACGCUGAGGCUCGAAAGCGUGGGGAGCAAACAGGAUUAGAUACCCUGGUAGUCCACGCCGUAAACGAUGAGUGCUAGGUGUUAGACCCUUUCCGGGGUUUAGUGCCGCAGCUAACGCAUUAAGCACUCCGCCUGGGGAGUACGACCGCAAGGUUGAAACUCAAAGGAAUUGACGGGGGCCCGCACAAGCGGUGGAGCAUGUGGCUUAAUUCGAAGCAACGCGAAGAACCUUACCAGGUCUUGACAUCCCUCUGACCGCUCUAGAGAUAGAGUUUUCCUUCGGGACAGAGGUGACAGGUGGUGCAUGGUUGUCGUCAGCUCGUGUCGUGAGAUGUUGGGUUNNNNNNNNCAACGAGCGCAACCCCUAUUGUUAGUUGCCAUCAUUCAGUUGGGCACUCUAGCGAGACUGCCGGUAAUAAACCGGAGGAAGGUGGGGAUGACGUCAAAUCAUCAUGCCCCUUAUGACCUGGGCUACACACGUGCUACAAUGGCUGGUACAACGAGUCGCAAGCCGGUGACGGCAAGCUAAUCUCUUAAAGCCAGUCUCAGUUCGGAUUGUAGGCUGCAACUCGCCUACAUGAAGUCGGAAUCGCUAGUAAUCGCGGAUCAGCACGCCGCGGUGAAUACGUUCCCGGGCCU